AUUGAACGCUGGCGGCAGGCCUAACACAUGCAAGUCGGACGGUAGCACAGAGGAGCUUGCUCCUCGGGUGACGAGUGGCGGACGGGUGAGUAAUGUCUGGGGAUCUGCCCGAUAGAGGGGGAUAACCACUGGAAACGGUGGCUAAUACCGCAUAACGUCGCAAGACCAAAGAGGGGGACCUUCGGGCCUCUCACUAUCGGAUGAACCCAGAUGGGAUUAGCUAGUAGGCGGGGUACCGGCCCACCUAGGCGACGAUCCCUAGCUGGUCUGGGAGGAUGAGCAGCCACACUGGAACUGAGACAGGGUCCAGACUCCUACGGGAGGCAGCAGUGGGGAAUAUUGCACAAUGGGCGCAAGCCUGAUGCAGCCAUGCCGCGUGUAUGAAGAAGGCCUUCGGGUUGUAAAGUACUUUCAGCGGGGAGGAAGGCGAUGUGGUUAAUAACCGCGUCGAUUGACGUUACCCGCAGAAGAAGCACCGGCUAACUCCGUGCCAGCCGCCGCCGUAA
rnacentral:rRNA from 1 species